AGUUGUUUCCACUCUCACUAUGUCAGGAACUUCUUUCCCAUGCUUUGGGCAUCCAUGAAGCUGAUGUCAGCAUAAGAGAAUCCAGACAUCAAGUGGCUUGGAGCAAUGGCUCAGCCAGGAAAUCGCUUGCCUUGCAAACAUGGGGACAGGAGAUCAAUCCCUCAGAACUCACAUAAGGAGAAUCCUGGUAUAGCAACAUGCUCUUGCAAUCACCAUGCUGGGAGGCAGAGGCUGGUGAGUCUGUGGGGCUCAUGGGCCAGCCAUGGUCAUCUACCUGACAACAACGUGCCUCAUGUCCUGAAGGCUUGCCUCCAUCUUACUACAGAGCUGAGGAUGACCUUAAACUUCUCGUCCUGUGCUUCCAAUUCCCAGGUGAUGGAAUUAUGAAUGUGUGUCACCAGGUCCAGUUUAUGUGACGCUGGAGAUCAAGCCCAGAGUUGUAAAUAUCAGUUUCAGAGAGAAAUCUCCUGGAUAAGAGAGUCCUCUACAGACACACCUUAAAGACAAUGGUGGGUGAGGAGCAGAGGUUGCAAAGGAAGAAGAAUAGAUUGGUUCCUGUAGAAGUCAAGGGGGCCAGAUGGAUCAGGAUGGUGUAUGCCUGGCAGUGGUCAAAAACUGCAGUCUGUUGGAGCUGGAGAUCACGCUUCGGACCUGGAGGCAAGCAGCACUGGUCUCUGGUUCACCAGUUGAUGACUUAAGCUCGGAGGACAGAGUCCUUCUCCUAUGGGAAAGGCCCCAGCGGACAUGCACAGCUCAGCCAGAAAUUACAACGUCUGGGAGGCUGAACCCUUGGAGGACUCCCUUCUGAUUUGGGGAGGUUAUCAUGAAUGAACCAGUGCAGAUACGUCGUCACCCCUGUUCCUCCUGCUUCUGCAGCAGCAGACCCCUCAGGAUAUUCAUUUCCCAGGCAACAAGAUACAUGCUUCCACUACUCACAAGGAUUCCAAGAGCAGACUGCAAUCAUGAAGGCCUAAGGUGGCCCAGGGUGUAACACUAAGCAAUUAGAC
rnacentral:lncRNA from 1 species